GCGCUGAGUGGGAGGCAACCUACUAUUAGGUAAAAAAAAGAAUGAACAGUGUCGAACGACACUGUAGCGGAAUCGUUGAUCGAUAUUGUAGUUGUGUCACUGUUCAUCAAAAAAAGAAGAUUCGAGGAAGACGAGAUCUGCACCCAGCAUGGACCGACACCUAAUCAAUGUCGAUCGACAUAUCAUCACGAGUAAUGAUUGAUUGCCACUUAACUGUUUCGAUCGACGCUCACCAUCAGCGAGCAGAUAUACCGUUUUUCAUUGUUAAAUUUUGUCGUUAUGAUUUAUUUUCUCACUAAUCUUAUACUGUAUAACACUGGGGACAUUGUUGUUUAAGUCUGGGAGAGGUAUUACUGAUAUUGUGUUUUGUUUUGAGUUUUAUUUUAUGAGUUUUUAUUGAGUUUUAUAGAGUCGAGAAGGGAAUGAUGAACUUUUCCAAUUUUACUUACUAUCUAACCACUCUCUAA
rnacentral:lncRNA from 1 species